rnacentral:rRNA from 1 species
GUGGAAGAGCGGUAACGCUUUAAGCUAACCAGUACUAAUUGCUCGUGAGGCUUGACCCUA